rfam:Eubacterium hallii CAG:12 genomic scaffold, scf242
AAUUCAUACACGGGGAGCUUGCAGAAGCAGGCUGAGAGUAAGCUAAAGUGCUUAGACCCAUAACCUGAUUUGGAUAAUGCCAACGUAGGGAUAGCGUAGAUGUAUUCGC